rnacentral:rRNA from 1 species
GAGGGGGUGCAAACGUUAUUCGGAUUUACUGGGUGUAAAGGGUGUGUAGACGGGUUGUUAAGUUCGUUGUUAAAUCGUCCGGGCCUAACCGGGAAGCUCGCGAUGGAAACUGGCAAUCUUGAGGAUGGAAGAGAGAAGUGGAAUUCUCGGAGUAGCGGUAAAAUGCGUAGAUCUCGAGAGGAACACCGAUGGCGAAGGCAGCUUCUUGGUCCAUUCCUGACGUUGAGACACGAAAGCGUGGGGAGCAAACAGGAUUAGAUACCCUGGUAGUCCACGCUGUAAACGAUGAUCACUAGAUGUUGGCCCUGUUUUGCAGGGUUAGUAUCGAAGCUAACGCGUUAAGUGAUCCACCUGGGAACUACGAUCGCAAGAUUA